rnacentral:rRNA from 1 species
UACGUAGGGUGCGAGCGUUGUCCGGAAUUACUGGGCGUAAAGCGUGCGCAGGCGGUUAUGUAAGACAGAUGUGAAAUGCCCGGGCUUAACCUGGGAACUGCAUUUGUGACUGCAUGGCUAGAAUCUGGCAGAGGGGGGUAGAAUUCCACGUGUAGCAGUGAAAUGCGUAGAUAUCGGAAGGAACACCAGUGGCGAAAGCGGCUUCCUGGUCCGACACCGACGUCAGGCACGAAAGCGUGGGGAGCAAACAGG